rnacentral:RNase_P_RNA from 2 species
CGGAAGAGAAAGGCAACCGCUAUUUAUAUUUCCUAAUAAUUCUAUUAGGAAGUCAAUGGAUAGAGGAAAGUCUGGACUUCAUAAGAAAAGAUACUGGAGAAAGUCCAGGAGUCGUAAGACUACGGAAAGUGCAACAGAAAACACUCCGCUAUAAAAUUUAGUUUUAUAGACAGGCUGAAAAUUCCUACUUAAGGAGUAGGAGCUAUUAAGGUGACUUAAUAGACAUGCAAACCCUAUCUGAAGCAAGAGAAAAAGUUUUUGUUUCUGCGUAGUGGAAAGAAUUUUUUCCACAAGCUUUUUCAUAAUCGCUUGAGGGGUAUAGUAAUAUAUCCCCUAGAUGAAUGGUUGCCCACAAAGCGGCUCAGGCCCCUUUGUAGACAGAAUCCGGCUUACUCUCUCUUCCGAUAU